rnacentral:rRNA from 2 species
UGGGGAAUAUUGGACAAUGGGGGCAACCCUGAUCCAGCCAUGCCGCGUGAGUGAUGACGGCCUUAGGGUUGUAAAGCUCUUUUCUCCGGGACGAUAAUGACGGUACCGGAGGAAUAAGCCCCGGCUAACUUCGUGCCAGCAGCCGCGGUAAUACGAAGGGGGCUAGCGUUGCUCGGAAUCACUGGGCGUAAAGGGCGCGUAGGCGGCUGAUUUAGUCGAGGGUGAAAGCCCGUGGCUCAACCACGGAAUGGCCUUCGAUACUGGUUGGCUUGAGACCGGAAGAGGACAGCGGAACUGCGAGUGUAGAGGUGAAAUUCGUAGAUAUUCGCAAGAACACCAGUGGCGAAGGCGGCUGUCUGGUCCGGUUCUGACGCUGAGGCGCGAAAGCGUGGGGAGCAAACA